rnacentral:rRNA from 1 species
UACGUAGGGUGCGAGCGUUAAUCGGAAUUACUGGGCGUAAAGCGUGCGCAGGCGGUUUCGUAAGCUUGAUGUGAAAUCCCCGGGCUUAACCUGGGAAUGGCAUUGAGGACUGCGAGGCUGGAGUGUGGCAGAGGAGACUGGAAUUCCCGGUGUAGCAGUGAAAUGCGUAGAUAUCGGGAGGAAUACCGAUGGCGAAGGCAGGUCUCUGGGCUGACACUGACGCUCAUGCACGAAAGCGUGGGGAGCAAACAGG